AAUGCAAAUGAUGAUAAAAUAGACAGGGACAUCAGACUCAUUGUUGAGAGUGAUGACUUAAGUCUAAUGGGAAUCUCUCUGAUGCAUU